UCUUUUAAAUGAAGACCUGUAUGAAUGGCAUCACGAGGGCUUAGCUGUCUCCCAUCUCCAGUCAAUGAAAUUGACCUCCCCGUGCAGAGGCGGGGAUAAUUACAUAAGACGAGAAGACCCUAUGGAGCUUUAGACCUAAGGUAAGUCACGUUUAACAUGCUGUGAUAACAGAAAAAACUUAGUGAUAUUUACUGAAGUGUCUUUGGUUGGGGCGACCGCGGGGUAAAACACAACCCCCAUGUGGACCGGGGAUAUAAUCCCUAAUACUCAGAGCCUCUACUCCAAGUAACAGAAAUUCUGACUUUUCUGAUCCGGUAUAACCGAUCAACGAACCGAGUUACCCUAGGGAUAACAGCGCAAUCCCCUCUCAGAGCCCAUAUCGACGAGGGGGUUUACGACCUC
rnacentral:rRNA from 1 species